UACGUAGGCAGCAAGCGUUGUUCGGAGUUACUGGGCGUAAAGGGUGCGUAGGUGGCUCUAUAAGUAUGGUGUGAAAUCUCCCGGCUUAACUGGGAGGGUGCGCCGUAGACUGUGGGGCUAGAGUGUGGGAGAGGAAAGUGGAAUUCCUGGUGUAGCGGUGAAAUGCGUAGAUAUCAGGAGGAACACCGGUGGUGUAAACGGCUUUCUGGACCAUAACUGACGCUGAGGCACGAAAAGCGUGGGUAGCAAACAGG
rnacentral:rRNA from 1 species